UUAAGUGACUAAGCGUACAAGGUGGAUGCCUUGGCAAUCAGAGGCGAAGAAGGACGUGCUAAUCUGCGAAAAGCUUGGAUGAGUCGAUAAGAGGCGUUUAAUCCAAGAUAUCCGAAUGGGGAAACCCAGUAGAUGAAGAAUCUACUAUCAACAAGUGAAUUCAUAGCUUGUUGAGGCAAACCGGGAGAACUGAAACAUCUAAGUACCCCGAGGAAAAGAAAUCAACCGAGAUUUCGUCAGUAGCGGCGAGCGAAAGCGAAAGAGCCAGUAAGUGAUAACAGUAUGGUUAGGAGAAUGUGUUGGGAAGCACAAUCAAAGAGGGUGAUAAUCCCGUAUCUAAAAACCAUAUUGUGGUACUAAGCUAACGAGAAGUAGGGCGGGACACGUGAUAUCCUGUUUGAAGAAGGGGGGACCAUCCUCCAAGGCUAAAUACUCCUGAUUGACCGAUAGUGAACCAGUACUGUGAAGGAAAGGCGAAAAGAACCCCGGUGAGGGGAGUGAAAUAGAACCUGAAACCUUGUACGUACAAGCAGUGGGAGCCUGAAAGGGUGACUGCGUACCUUUUGUAUAAUGGGUCAGCGACUUAUAUUUUGUAGCGAGGUUAACCGAAUAGGGGAGCCGAAGGGAAACCGAGUCUUAACUGGGCGAAGAGUUGCAAGGUAUAGACCCGAAACCCGGUGAUCUAGCCAUGGGCAGGUUGAAGGUUGGGUAACACUAACUGGAGGACCGAACCGACUAAUGUUGAAAAAUUAGCGGAUGACUUGUGGCUGGGGGUGAAAGGCCAAUCAAACCGGGAGAUAGCUGGUUCUCCCCGAAAUCUAUUUAGGUAGAGCCUUGAGGUGACACCUUUGGGGGUAGAGCACUGUUUCGGCUAGGGGGCCAUCCCGGCUUACCAACCCGAUGCAAACUACGAAUACCAAAGAGUGAUACUCAGGAGACACACGGCGGGUGCUAACGUCCGUCGUGGAGAGGGAAACAACCCAGACCGCCAGCUAAGGUCCCCAAGUCUAUAUUAAGUGGGAAACGAAGUGGGAAGGCUUAGACAGCUAGGAUGUUGGCUUAGAAGCAGCCAUCAUUUAAAGAAAGCGUAAUAGCUCACUAGUCGAGUCGGCCUGCGCGGAAGAUGUAACGGGGCUGAAAUAUAGCACCGAAGCUGCGGCAUCAGGCGUAUCACUAAUACGCCUUACGAUUAACAAGCUAGAAUGGUGCGAAGCGACAUGAAAGGUUGUUCAAGCAACCCGAACGUUGAGUCGGGCAUCUUAGAGUGAGGAUUAUUAGUGAUACGCCUGUUGGGUAGGGGAGCGUUGUGUAAGCGGAAGAAGGUUCAUCGAGAGGUGGGCUGGACGUAUCACAAGUGCGAAUGCUGACAUAAGUAACGAUAAAACGGGUGAAAAACCCGUUCGCCGGAAGACCAAGGGUUCCUGUCCAACGUUAAUCGGGGCAGGGUGAGUCGGCCCCUAAGGCGAGGCUGAAAAGCGUAGUCGAUGGGAAACAGGUUAAUAUUCCUGUACUUGGUAAAGCUGCGAUGUGGGGACGGAGUAGGUUAGGUUAUCGCACUGUUGGAUAUGUGCGUUUAAGUUGGUAGGUGGGAAGUUUAGGCAAAUCCGGACUUCCUUAACACAGAGAGAUGAUGACGAGGCUCUACGGAGCUGAAGUAACUGAUACCACACUUCCAGGAAAAGCCACUAAGCGAAAGGCUUUACUAAACCGUACUGAAAACCGACACAGGUGGUCAGGUAGAGAAUACUCAGGCGCUUGAGAGAACUCGGGUGAAGGAACUAGGCAAAAUAGCACCGUAACUUCGGGAGAAGGUGCGCUUACAGUAAUUGUAGUCCCUUACGGAUGAAGGUGAAGUAAGUCGAAGAUACCAGCUGGCUGCAACUGUUUAUUAAAAACACAGCACUCUGCAAACACGAAAGUGGACGUAUAGGGUGUGAUGCCUGCCCGGUGCUGGAAGGUUAAUUGAUGGUGUCAUCGCAAGAGAAGCACCUGAUCGAAGCCCCAGUAAACGGCGGCCGUAACUAUAACGGUCCUAAGGUAGCGAAAUUCCUUGUCGGGUAAGUUCCGACCUGCACGAAUGGCAUAAUGAUGGCCAGGCUGUCUCCACCCGAGACUCAGUGAAAUUGAAAUCGCCGUGAAGAUGCGGUGUACCCGCGGCUAGACGGAAAGACCCCGUGAACCUUUACUAUAGCUUGACACUGAACAUUGAAUUUUGAUGUGUAGGAUAGGUGGGAGCCUUUGAAGCAGUGACGCCAGUCAUUGUGGAGGCGACCUUGAAAUACCACCCUUUAACGUUUGAUGUUCUAACGAAGAUGACGAAACGUGGUCUCGGACAGUGUCUGGUGGGUAGUUUGACUGGGGCGGUCUCCUCCCAAAGCGUAACGGAGGAGCACGAAGGUUUGCUAAUCACGGUCGGACAUCGUGAGGUUAGUGCAAUGGUAUAAGCAAGCUUAACUGCGAGACAGACAAGUCGAGCAGGUACGAAAGUAGGUCAUAGUGAUCCGGUGGUUCUGAAUGGAAGGGCCAUCGCUCAACGGAUAAAAGGUACUCCGGGGAUAACAGGCUGAUACCGCCCAAGAGUUCAUAUCGACGGCGGUGUUUGGCACCUCGAUGUCGGCUCAUCACAUCCUGGGGCUGAAGUAGGUCCCAAGGGUAUGGCUGUUCGCCAUUUAAAGUGGUACGCGAGCUGGGUUUAGAACGUCGUGAGACAGUUCGGUCCCUAUCUGCCGUGGGCGUAGGAUGAUUGAUUGGGGCUGCUCCUAGUACGAGAGGACCGGAGUGGACGCAUCACUGGUGUUCCAGUUGUCUCGCCAGAGGCAUUGCUGGGUAGCUAAGUGCGGAAGAGAUAAGUGCUGAAAGCAUCUAAGCACGAAACUUGCCAAGAGAUGAGUCAUCCCUGACUUUAAGUCAGUAAGGGUUGUUGUAGACUACGACGUAGAUAGGUCUGGUGUGUAAGUGUAGUGAUACAUUGAGCUAACAGAUACUAAUUGCCCGAGAGGCUUAACU
rnacentral:rRNA from 1 species